GCGAUCAUACCAGCACUAAUGUAACGAUCCCAUCAGAACUCCGCAGU
rnacentral:rRNA from 1 species